AUGAACGCUGGCGGCGUGCCUAAUACAUGCAAGUCGAGCGAACGGACGAGAAGCUUGCUUUUCUGAUGUUAGCGGCGGACGGGUGAGUAACACGUGGAUAACCUACCUAUAAGACUGGGAUAACUUCGGGAAACCGGAGCUAAUACCGGAUAAUAUUUUGAACCGCAUGGUUCAAAAGUGAAAGACGGUCUUGCUGUCACUUAUAGAUGGAUCCGCGCUGCAUUAGCUAGUUGGUAAGGUAACGGCUUACCAAGGCAACGAUGCAUAGCCGACCUGAGAGGGUGAUCGGCCACACUGGAACUGAGACACGGUCCAGACUCCUACGGGAGGCAGCAGUAGGGAAUCUUCCGCAAUGGGCGAAAGCCUGACGGAGCAACGCCGCGUGAGUGAUGAAGGUCUUCGGAUCGUAAAACUCUGUUAUUAGGGAAGAACGUAUGUGUAAGUAACUGUGCACAUCUUGACGGUACCUAAUCAGAAAGCCACGGCUAACUACGUG
rnacentral:rRNA from 1 species